GAUGAACGCUGGCGGCGUGCCUAAUACAUGCAAGUCGAGCGAACAGACGAGGAGCUUGCUCCUCUGACGUUAGCGGCGGACGGGUGAGUAACACGUGGAUAACCUACCUAUAAGACUGGGAUAACUUCGGGAAACCGUAGCUAAUACCGGAUAAUAUUUUGAACCGCAUGGUUCAAUAGUGAAAGACGGUUUUGCUGUCACUUAUAGAUGGAUCCGCGCUGCAUUAGCUAGUUGGUAAGGUAACGGCUUACCAAGGCAACGAUGCGUAGCCGACCUGAGAGGGUGAUCGGCCACACUGGAACUGAGACACGGUCCAGACUCCUACGGGAGGCAGCAGUAGGGAAUCUUCCGCAAUGGGCGAAAGCUUGACGGAGCAACGCCGCGUGAGUGAUGAAGGUCUUCGGAUCGUAAAACUCUGUUAUUAGGGAAGAACAAAUGUGUAAGUAACUAUGCACGUCUUGACGGUACCUAAUCAGAAAGCCACGGCUAACUACGUG
rnacentral:rRNA from 1 species